AACGAACGCUGGCGGCGUGCCUAACACAUGCAAGUCGAGCGGGAAAGCGGGGGCAACCCCACGUGUACAGCGGCGAACGGGUGAGUAACACGUAGGUAACCUACCCCUAGGACUUGGGAUAACCUGCCGAAAGGCGGGCUAAUACUAGAUAAGACCACGGGAGCUCCGGCUCCUGCGGUAAAAGGUGGCCUCUGCUUGCAAGCUACCGCCUAGGGAUGGGCCUGCGGGCCAUUAGCUAGUUGGUGGGGUAACGGCUCACCAAGGCUACGAUGGCUAGCUGGUCUGAGAGGAUGGCCAGCCACACUGGGACUGAGACACGGCCCAGACUCCUACGGGAGGCAGCAUG
rnacentral:rRNA from 1 species